rnacentral:pre_miRNA from 1 species
UGCGGGCGUGUGUGUGUGUGUGUGUGUGUGUGUGUGUGGGAAACGUGCAGGAGGAUGAAAACACCCGCCAGGCGGC